rnacentral:rRNA from 1 species
GCCUACGGGACGCAGCAGUAGGGAAUUUUCGACAAUGGGCGCAAGCCUGAACGAGCGAUGCCGCGUGAGUGAAGAAGGCCUUCGGGUCGUAAAGCUCUGUUGCGGGGGAAAAAAGGCAGCAUCAGGAAAUGGGUGCUGACUGAUGGUGCCCCGCCAGAAAGUCACGGCUAACUACGUGCCAGCAGCCGCGGUAAUACGUAGGUGGCGAGCGUUAUCCAGAAUGAUUGGGCGUAAAGGGUGCGCAGGCGGUCCUGCAAGUCUGAAGUGAAAGGUACGGGCUUAACCUGUACAGGCUUUGGAAACUG